GCCCUUAGAGUUUGAUCCUGGCUCAGAUUGAACGCUGGCGGCACGCCUAACACAUGCAAGUCGAGCGGUAGCAUGAUCUGUAGCAAUACAGAUUGAUGACGAGCGGCGGACGGGUGAGGAGACUGUAGGAACUUGCCCAGGAGAGGGGGAUAACCAGAGGAAACUUUGGCUAAUACCGCGUGAACUCGGAAGAGAAAAGUUGCCUGAAAGGGUGACGCUCCUGGAGAGGCCUGCACCCGAUUAGCUAGUUGGUGAGGUAAAGGCUCACCAAGGCGAUAAUCGGUAACUGGUCUGAGAGGACGACCAGUCACACUGGGACUGAGACACGGCCCAGACUCCUACGGGAGGCAGCAGUGGGGAAUCUUGGACAAUGGGGGCAACCCUGAUCCAGCGAUGCCGCGUGGGUGAAGAAGGCCUUCGGGUUGUAAAGCCCUUUAGGUUGGGACGAAGGUGCGAGGUGGAUAAUACCUUGUGCUUG
rnacentral:rRNA from 1 species